AUUGAACGCUGGCGGCAGGCCUAACACAUGCAAGUCGAGCGAGCGGCGGACGGGUGAGUACUGCCUGGGAAACUGCCUGAUGGAGGGGGAUAACUACUGGAAACGGUAGCUAAUACCGCAUACCAUCAGAUGUGCCCAGAUGGGAUUAGCUAGUAGGUGGGGUAACGGCUCACCUAGGCGACGAUCCCUACCUGGUCUGAGAGGAUGACCAGCCCCACUGGGACUGGGACAAGGGCCAGACUCCUACGGGAGGCAGCAGUGGGGGAUAUUGCACAAUGGGCGGAAGCCUGAUGCGGCCAUGCCGCGUGAGUGAAGAAGGCCUUCGGGUUGUAAAGCACUUUCAGCGGGGAGGCGUUACCCGCAGAAGAAGCACCGGCUAACUCCGGGGCAGGCGCCGCGGUAAUAC
rnacentral:rRNA from 1 species